GAUGAACGCUGGCGGCGUGCCUAAUACAUGCAAGUCGAGCGAACAGACGAGGAGCUUGCUCCUCUUACGUUAGCGGCGGACGGGGGAGUAACACGUGGAUAACCUACCUAUAAGACUGGGAUAACGUCGGGAAACCGGAGCUAAUACCGGAUAAUAUAUUGAACCGCAUGGUUCAAUAGUUAUUGACGGUUUUGCUGUCACUUAUAGAUGUAUCCGCGCCGCAUUAGCUAGUUGGUAAGGUAACGGCUUACCAAGGCAAGGAUGCGUAGCCGAACUGAGAGGGUGAUAGGACAAACUGGAACUGAGACACGGUCCAGACUCCUACGGGAGGCAGCAGUAGGGAAUCUUACGCAAUGGGCGAAAGCCUGACCGAGCACCGCCGCGUGAGUGAUGAAGGUCUUCGGAUCGUAAAACUAUGUUAUUAGGGAAGAACAAAAGUGUAAGUAACUCUGCACGUCUUGACGGUACCUAAUCAGAAAGCCACGGCUAACUACGUG
rnacentral:rRNA from 1 species